UGGGAUAAUGGCCACAACCUUGAAAACUUCAGAACACUGUCUUAGGGAAAAUAAAUGAGAGACUCCCAGUAUCCAGCCUGGCUUUGUGGAAUUGAGAAAAGGCACAUAAUCCAGGGCUUCUCCUCCUAGGAUAAGGAGGACAUUUUUGAAAGCAAGAAAAAACCACCAGUCACAUACAAAGGAAUCUCAGUAAAACUCUCAGUGGAAUUCUUAGCAGAAACCAUACAGGCUAAAGGAGAGUGGGAUGAUAUACUCAAAGUGCUGAAAGAAAGAAAAAAAAAUCUGUCAACAAAGAAUAUUAUGCUCAGCAAAGCUGUUCUUCAGAAAUGAAGGAGAAAUUAAGACUUUUUCAGACAAACAAAAACUAAGGUAGUUUAUCAACACUAGACUUGCCCUACAAGAAAUGCUAAAGAGAGUUCUUCAUGUUGAAAUGAAAGGAUACUAAUUUGCAACAUGAAAACAUAUAAAAUAUAAAACUCACUGGUAAAGCAUUAUUCAGACUAGCCAAGAUAUGGAAACAAGCUAAAUGCGAAUUGAUGGAUGAAUAGAUAAGAAGCAUGUGAUGUGUAUAGAUAUUAUGUGUACAAGGAAACAUGGAGCGUGAUCUAAGGCAGCUACCAGCAUUGAUUUUGAUCAUAAGCCAGUUGCUCAAAGACCGGUGUGGAAAGGGCUUAAGAAGGAAGAGGACCAGAGGGAAAUUACCAUCUGGAGACAAGAUGACACUGGGAACUUGGAGGAAAACGUUCAGGUACCGUAUGAGGAAGCAGAACACUGGUUGUAGGUUGUGUAUCAAUGGCUUUCUAUGAGUAAAUGACCUGAAAAUGUAUGUGACUAAGCACCAUAAUGUGGAUUUCUGAAAGCUGAAUGACUUAAAGAAAAAUCUGCUUAUUUCUAAGAAAACCAACAAGUGGUUUCUUUCAGUAAGUUAUUAAAUUUAUUUAAGGCAUGAAUGAUCUAUUAUGUAAGGAAAGUGUUUGAAUACAGGUAUUCUGUCCUUAAGUUUGGACAUUCCUGGAAACCAAACAGCCUAUAAUGCAAAGCUCUGCUGUGUGCAGAUCUGUCCUUCUUUCACUAGUCUCUUCUAUAUUUAUAAUGUUUCUAGUCAUAGUUUAUGUGAAUAAUAAAGGCUGUGGAGUCCCUUGGAAUUCUUAUUUAAUAUGCUGCCAUUUCCUUAAUUAUUAAAAGCUUUUACACCUUCAUAAGAGAUGCUUAGUUGCUAGAGCCUCUCCAUACACUAAUUCCCAGAAGAUGCUUAAGAAAUGAGUCCCAGGAAGGUGUCCAUUGCAGGAAUUCUGGAUAGGACUCUGAGCUUAUGGACAGAUUUUGAUGCAAACUGACUUGAGACAGCG
rnacentral:lncRNA from 1 species